rnacentral:rRNA from 1 species
GCUAGCGGGAUGCUUCAAACAUGCAAGUCGAACGAGAAAGUUUCCUUCGGGAAGCGAGUAAAGUGGCGCACGGGUGCGUAACACGUAACUAACGUGCCCCUUCGCUGGGGACAACUCCGGGAAACCGGAGCUAAUACCGAAUGAUCUGACGGAGUCUGCGGGCUCUGUCGGUAAAGCCGUAAGGCGCGAAGGGAUCGGGUUGCGGUCCAUUAGCUUGUUGGUAGGGUAACGGCCUACCAAGGCGACGAUGGAUAGCUGGUCUGAGAGGAUGAUCAGCCACACUGGAACUGAAACACGGUCCAGACUCCCACGGGAGGCAGCAGUUGGGAAUAUUGGACAAUGGGCGAAAGCCUGAUCCAGCAAUCCCGCGUGAGUGAUGAAGGCCCUCGGGUCGUAAAGCUCUUUCAGGGGGGAAGAAAUUUGACGGUACCCCCAGAAGAAGCACCGGCUAACUACGUGCCAGCAGCCGCGGUAAUACGUAGGGUGCAAGCGUUGUUCGGAAUCAUUGGGCGUAAAGCGCGUGUAGGCGGUUCGUUAAGUCUGAUGUGAAAGCCCGGGGCUUAACUCCGGAAGUGCAUUGGAUACUGGCGAACUCGAGGACGAGAGAGGGAAGUGGAAUUCCUGGUGUA